rnacentral:rRNA from 1 species
UACGUAGGUGGCGAGCGUUGUUCGGAUUCAUUGGGCGUAAAGGGUCCGCAGGGGGUAGAUUAAGUCUGAUGUGAAAUCCCUGAGCUUAACUCAGGAACUGCAUUGGAGACUGGUUUACUAGAGUAUCGGAGAGGAGAUUGGAAUUCCAGGUGUAGCGGUGGAAUGCGUAGAUAUCUGGAAGAACACCGAAAGCGAAGGCAGAUCUCUGGACGAUUACUGACCCUCAGGGACGAAAGCGUGGGGAGCAAACAGG